rnacentral:ncRNA from 1 species
AUAACGGCGAUGACGGGGACGAGUAGCUAUCGCCAGCUCUUCAGCGAGCCUGGGGCGGUGUGAGCCGGGUAGAAGCAGCGAUAGUGAACAUCACCCCUGAGCUGGCAGGUGAACCGCGUGAUGGUUUCGUCCGCGCAGUAACCGCGCCCGGAACGCCCACCGUUAGCGGGGCAGAGUGUUGAUCGACACUCGCAAAGUGCGGUGCUUAGUGGCAGGCGCCACAGCAUCGAAUUGGGGUGGUACCGCGGGGUUAAUCUGCCUCGUCCCCUGU